AUACGAAGGGUGCAAGCGUUACUCGGAAUUACUGGGCGUAAAGCGUGCGUAGGUGGUUGUUUAAGUCUGUCGUGAAAGCCCUGGGCUCAACCUGGGAAUGGCGAUGGAAACUGGGCGACUAGAGUGUGGCAGAGGGUAGUGGAAUUCCUGGUGUAGCAGUGAAAUGCGUAGAGAUCAGGAGGAACAUCCGUGGCGAAGGCGACUGCCUGGGCCAACACUGACACUGAGGCACGAAAGCGUGGGGAGCAAACAGGAUUAGAUACCCUGGUAGUCCACGCCCUAAACGAUGCGAACUGGAUGUUGGGUGCAAUUUGGCACGCAGUAUCGAAGCUAACGCGUUAAGUUCGCCGCCUGGGGAGUACGGUCGCAAGACUGAAACUCAAAUGAAUUGGCGUGG
rnacentral:rRNA from 1 species